rnacentral:scRNA from 1 species
CCGCUCCGACUGCAUAGUCUGGCAGAGCACACGGAAACUGCCUUCUCGGUUUAGGGGAGGGCGUCCUACAAACAGGGCUGGCUUUAGAGGCACGAGAGGACAAC